GGGGCAGAUAUGAGCAUCGAACCGCCGCGUAGGGGCCUAAAAAUCGAUAUUUCGGUCUUUGCUCCAUCCUCUGCGGUGUGGCCGUGCGGCCGUGUUCGUUCGGCUAGGUUUUUCCUAGAAUACCAUCUAUUAGUGGUCUGUUUUUUUUGAGGAUUUUAAAUACACAGAGCAAAGCUCGUGGCAUCUUUCUGGGGGAUCUAACGAAGGCUCAACAGCUUGCCAGGGUGCCGUUCGAAGCGUAGCUCUUCGAUUUUUAAGAUUCGCAACUGCACUACUGCAUUGCGUCGACGACCUAUUUUACAACGGGGACGAUAAGUCGCACGCCCUCCUGCCAUUAAAUAAUCAAUUUCUCUGUCCGUUACGUUAGGAAUCUCUGUUCACUCUCGCUAUCUGUCAUUCCAUACAAUAUACAUGCCAAAAGUACAAAGGAAAAAAUUCAGGAGAAAAGUCUAAAAUCGUUUUCUCUGCGUAAUUAGAUUAAAAUUAAAAUUUACCCAAAUAAUUUGUAUGUGCAAAAAUAAUUUUUGACAAAAAGAUUUGUAAACCAUUUCAACUUCAUUAGUCUACCGUUACGAAUCCAUGGGCGUAUAAAUGACUCUAAUAUGUAUAUAGGCAUGAAGGCUGAGAAAUAAAAAGUUCCGAAAGUGACGAUGCAGAUUCCAUUAAUAUUUGGGAAAGUGAAGGAAACUAAGAUUAAGCCUAAUGGUUCUACGAUGAA